CAGGGAGGUAGUGACAAGAAAUAACAAUACGGGGCUUAAUGUCUUGUAAUUGGAAUGAUGGGAAUUUAAACCUCUUCCAGAGUAUCAAUUGGAGGGCAAGUCUGGUGCCAGCAGCCGCGGUAAUUCCAGCUCCAAUAGCGUAUAUUAAAAUUGUUGCAGUUAAAAAGCUCGUAGUUGAAUUUCUGCUGCAUCGUCGCAUCUCUUGCUGAGUGCUUCAUUGCGGCUUAUUUCGGAUUGAUUUUUUCUUUCCGGAUGAUUACUUUGAGAAAAUUAGAGUGCUCAAAGCAGGCUUUUGCCUUGAAUAGUUUAGCAUGGAAUAAUAAAGUAGGACUUUGGUUCUAUUUUGUUGGUUUUAGGUACCAAAGUAAUGGUUAAUAGGAACAGUUGGGGGCAUUCGUAUUUAACUGUCAGAGGUGAAAUUCUUAGAUUUGUUAAAGACGAACUACUGCGAAAGCAUUUGCCAAGGAUGUUUUCAUUAAUCAAGAACGAAAGUUAGGGGAUCGAAGACGAUCAGAUACCGUCGUAGUCCUAACCAUAAACUAUGCCGACUAGAGAUUGGAGGUCGUCAGUUUUUACGACUCCUUCAGCACCUUGAGAGAAAUCAAAGUCUUGG
rnacentral:rRNA from 1 species